AACGAACGCUGGCGGCAGGCUUAACACAUGCAAGUCGAGCGCCCCGCAAGGGGAGCGGCAGACGGGUGAGUAACGCGUGGGAACGUACCAUUUGCUACGGAAUAACUCAGGGAAACUUGUGCUAAUACCGUAUGAGCCCGAACGGGGAAAGAUUAAUCGGCAAAUGAUCGGCCCGCGUUGGAUUAGCUAGUUGGUGGGGUAAAGGCCUACCAAGGCGACGAUCCAUAGCUGGUCUGAGAGGAUGAUCAGCCACACUGGGACUGAGACACGGCCCAGACUCCUGCGGGAGGCAGCAUUGGGGAAUAUUGGACAGUGGGCGCAAGCCUGAACCAGCCAUGCCGAGCGAGUGAUGAAGGCCCUAGGGUUGUAAAGCUCUUUCACCGGUGAAGAUAAUGACGGUAACCGGAGAAGAAGCCCCGGCUAACUUCGUGCCAGCCGCCGCCGUAAGAC
rnacentral:rRNA from 1 species